rnacentral:rRNA from 1 species
UCCAGACUCCUACGGGAGGCAGCAGUGGGGAAUAUUGCACAAUGGGGGAAACCCUGAUGCAGCAACGCCGCGUGAGUGAAGAAGUCAUUCGUGAUGUAAAGCUCUAUCAGCAGGGAAGAAAAUGACGGUACCUGAGUAAGAAGCCCCGGCUAACUACGUGCCAGCAGCCGCGGUAAUACGGAGGAUGCGAGCGUUAUCCGGAUUUAUUGGGUUUAAAGGGUGCGUAGGCGGUAUUUUAAGUUAGUGGUAAAACGUCGGGGCUUCACCUUGAUUGGCCAUUAAAACUGGAGUACUAGAGUACAGACGAGGUAGGCGGAAUAAGUUAAGUAGCGGUGAAAUGCUUAGAUAUAACUUAGAACCCCGAUAGCGAAGACAGCUUACCAGACUGUUACUGACGCUGAAGCACGAGAGCGUGGGUAGCGAACAGGAUUAGAUACCCGCGUAAC